rnacentral:lncRNA from 1 species
CAAUAGAAAGCAAAAUUCAGAAAUUUAAUGACCUUUUAAACUUUAAAGUUUAAUGUUCUGCUCUAUUCUCAAUUACCCAUUUGAUUCUUAUUUUGUACUGUAUUAUGUUAUUCUGUUAUCUUGUGUUGCAUUAUUAUGUUGCGUUUUUAAAUAUCUUUUUUCAAUAUUUUCAAUAUGUGUUGCGUUAUUGUGUUGCUUUUUUCAGUAUGCUUAAGCAAGUCUUGUUAUUUUUGCUAAUUUUUAUGUUUGCUGUCUCUGUAUUGUAUCUUUUCUUCUUUUGCUACCCCCCUAUGUAAUACCCUCCCAGUGAGGGUGUUCGGGGGUUUCCUGAAAUAAAAAAAAAUAAAUAAAAGUCACCUCUUCACUUACCCCUUUCAGACGCCACCUAUGAAGAACUGUAUGUAAACGUGUCAAACUGACACAACAUUAUUUGACGGCACUCAAUAUUCUAUUGCAACAAAAACAGUGUCAUAAUAUAUCAAUUUAGGUGUUAUAGUAACUCGUCCUAAUUAAGUAGUAAUUAAAUAUCUAUUUAUCCUGAAGACGAUGUUCUCUUUUGGCAUAAAUAGAAUGAAACUUUAGGCUAGAAAUAUUGUUAAAAUUCAUUCUUGGUUAUGUACAUUUCGAGCAAAGGAAAAUUAUACUUUCCACAAAUCCCUUAAAGCUUAUGAAGCGCUGAAGACAAAAAAACACUGACACUGCAUGUUCGCCCUGCUUGUUUCAUAUAGUGCAAAAUGCUGUACAAAAACAGAACAACUGCUGCUUUGCUGAGGGUUUAACUCUUUGGCUGCAGUUGUGACUCCAGAGCGCCAAGUUUCGACUGACUGAUCAUUUGGACAUACAUACCCCAACUGCAACCACAAGCAAGAACUGCCAUUAGUGCCGACAGAGACAUAGGCCCAAGAACCUGCAUACCAAUAGACCUUUUUCAAGCACACGAGCGCCACCAAUGGGCGCGCAAGCGCUCAUGGGAUGUGUACGCCGCAGCAGCCGCCGCGACGAG